UUGCUUUCCACAAGACCAUCUGGCUCAAGAAACCCCGAGCAGAUCACAUCUCAGAGCAGAGGAGGAGCCAGAAAAGACCUGAAGCCUGAAGUGGGGUGACUGAGUUCAUUGUGACUGAGAGGAGAAAGGAGACACAGUAUCUUCUUCGGGGGAACCAUGCUGUUCAUCCAGAGUUUUUGUGAAAAUGUCAAAAUCUCCCCAUGUGCAUUAGCUCGGCGUCGGGGUGAUUUGCCACUCUUGCCGCCUUCAGGGUUGAGCAUCCACCAAGAGCUCUUGCCCGUGCCCUCAUUCUGCACACGGACAAACCUACUGUGCAGGG